GACAGCACAGCAUAGCUGUGAAGGUGAAGGUGAAGAUCUCCCAUCCCAAAGACAGGCCUCUCUCACUUCUUCCUUAAAACGAAACUCUGGAAACACACAAACAGGAAUUCUAUCAUGCUGUUCUCCCUGGACAAGAAUGAGCUCAAGGGUGACCCCUGUACUGGUGUCAUCCAGGGGUGCCAGAGCCACAGUGUCUGGUGCCACUCAGCCCUGGGAGGCCACACAGGAGAAGAGGAACAAAGAAAAGGAUGGAAGAUGGAAGAGGGUGUCUCUUUGCAACCAACCUCAAUGAGGACAAGAGCUCCCACUCUGAGCCAUGGACAUCGAACUCUGGUGGGACUCUCACUGGACCUAGAGCUCAACAACUUGGCUAGGCUAUCCGGACAGAAGACUCGGGAUCCAUCUGUCUCCACCUCCCAGACACUGUGAUUAUAGGCAUUAAACUACCAUGCCCAGUUUGGGAGAGUUCUAGGAAUCUGAACUCAGGUCCUCAUGUUCAAGCAAGAAGUACUUCACCAACUAAGCCACUUCCCCAGAAUCCCCCAAAAAGGCUUUUUAAAAGAUUGUCUUGUAUAGCCAGUGUCCCAGUUUCACACUGUUCCAUUUAAAAUGUUUUUUUUUUUCUCUAGAAAGAUAUGUUUGGCAACACUGGACCCCAAACUAAAUGAUUCCUAAUGUCAUAUGGUUCUGGGAAUCUAGAAACUUCCCAUUUUCUGUCCAAGUAAACUGGCCUAGGUGGGACACCAUUUAUAGUCCCUUGGAAGACUCUUUUUAUCCCCCCCCCACCACUUUUAAAAAGCUUUGGGGACUUUAAAUGCUGCUUUGAGAAGAGAUAUCCCAUUUUGUUUGGUUUUAUAGAGAACAAUACAGUGCCCUGCCUCUUCCCAUAGCUGGGGAAUAAUGGGGUUGCUUCAGAAGACCGAGUUGCCUGUCCUGCCAAGGUGGUAGAGCCUUGAUAUUUUAGCAUCAGCUGGCAGACCACCUGCUUCUGAGAAAGACCGAGCCAUCUGUUUCCUGGUUACACUGAGGGAGCAUCUUUCUCCUGGCACAUCUACCCCCAGACUCAAGCCCAGAGACAUUUUGUAACCUAAGAACGGCUCUCAUCUGUGCCAUACACAGAACUCCCAGAUUCCUCCUCCCUCUCCUACACUCUCCAUCAGUUCCUCGCUGAUGGUGGCCCAGCGGGAGAUGAAUGGGCUGGCUACCUCCAGCUUAAAGAAUUGCUCAGGC